UACGGAGGGGGCUAGCGUUGUUCGGAAUUACUGGGCGUAAAGCGCACGUAGGCGGCCAUUCAAGUCAGAGGUGAAAGCCCAGGGCUCAACCUUGGAACUGCCUUUGAAACUAGAUGGCUAGAAUUCUGGAGAGGUCAGUGGAAUUCCGAGUGUAGAGGUGAAAUUCGUAGAUAUUCGGAAGAACACCAGUGGCGAAGGCGACUGACUGGGCAGAUAUUGACGCUGAGGUGCGAAAGCGUGGGGAGCAAACAGG
rnacentral:rRNA from 1 species